GAGUCAGGUAGGACAGGGCCUGCCUUUGGCUCACAACCCAGAAUUAUUGCUGUCAUCUCCUAGAGGGCAGGGGUGGGGCAGGAAAACAUCCUCCUCAAUGUUUACUUCUCAGAGUCCAUUCAACACCACAUCCUGGCAGGCAGGUCUCACAGGGUGGGCAGGGAAACUGAACUCAAGGGAAGGUGGGCUACUCCACCCUUAGCAAGAAGCAAGCACACUGUGUUCAGAGAUCCCAAGGUCAUUGCAGCAGGUAAAAUAGUGGGUAUACCAGAUCAAUGCUAUUUGGACAAUGGAUGUAUCUCAGCAAACCCAGUGUGGAGCUGAAGUUCUCUGAAGAAGUCACAUCUCCAUUAAAGAUUCUGAAGACCUACGUUGACGGAGUACAACAUCGUGAUUGAGGAGAGAUGAAAUGCUGCAGGAAGGAAGACUCUUAUCAGACAGAAAAAAAAAAUUCUACCCACUGAAGUUUGGUCUUGGAGGCCUGCUAAUUAAACUGGCAAAAAGAUACCUUCAGAGGCUGGCGCUGUAGCUCAGUGCAGAGCCCUUGCCUAACAUGCGUGAGGCACUGGGUUCAAUA